rnacentral:rRNA from 1 species
UGGGGAAUAUUGCACAAUGGGGGGAAACCCUGAUGCAGCGACGCCGCGUGAGUGAAGAAGUAUUUCGGUAUGUAAAGCUCUAUCAGCAGGGAAGAAAAUGACGGUACCUGACUAAGAAGCCCCGGCUAACUACGUGCCAGCAGCCGCGGUAAUACGUAGGGGGCAAGCGUUAUCCGGAUUUACUGGGUGUAAAGGGAGCGUAGACGGCUAAGCAAGUCAGAAGUGAAAGGCUGGGGCUCAACCCCGGGACUGCUUUUGAAACUGUUUGGCUAGAGUGCUGGAGAGGUAAGCGGAAUUCCUAGUGUAGCGGUGAAAUGCGUAGAUAUUAGGAGGAACACCAGUGGCGAAGGCGGCUUACUGGACAGUAACUGACGUUGAGGCUCGAAAGCGUGGGGAGCAAACAGGAUUAGAUACCCUGGUA